CCCAUGACUAUAUGAUGAAAAUAAUGUUGGUAGGGACAUCUGAUUAAAAGUGAAGAAUGCCAACUUUUCUGACUGCAUGGU